ACGGCUCAGUAACACGUGGCCAAACUACCCUAUCGAGCGCGACUACCCUCGGGAAACUGAGGCUAAUAGCGCAUACGACUCGAUGCCUGGAACUGGCUCGAGUCCGAAAUGCCCCGGCGCGAUAGGAUGUGGCUGCGGCCGAUUAGGUAGACGGUGGGGUAACGGCCCACCGUGCCGAUAAUCGGUACGGGUCAUGAGAGUGAGAGCCCGGAGACGGAAUCUGAGACAAGAUUCCGGGCCCUACGGGGCGCAGCAGGCGCGAAACCUUUACACUGCACGACAGUGCGAUAAGGGGACUCCAAGUGCGAGGGCAUAUCGUCCUCGCUUUUUCCCACCGUAAGGUGGUGGGCGAAUAAGAGCUGGGCAAGACCGGUGCCAGCCGCCGCGGUAAUACCGGCAGCUCGAGUGAUGACCGCUAUUAUUGGGCCUAAAGCGUCCGUAGCCGGCCAGACAAGUCUAUCGGGAAAUCUCCCCGCCUAACGGGGAGGCGUCCGGUGGAAACUGUCUGGCUUGGGACCGGAAGACCAGAGGGGUACGUCUGGGGUAGGAGUGAAAUCCCGUAAUCCUAGACGGACCGCCGGUGGCGAAAGCGCCUCUGGAAGACGGAUCCGACGGUGAGGGACGAAAGCUCGGGUCACGAACCGGAUUAGAUACCCGGGUAGUCCGAGCCGUAAACGAUGUCUGCUAGGUGUGCCACAGGCUACGAGCCUGUGGUGUGCCGUAGGGAAGCCGUGAAGCAGACCGCCUGGGAAGUACGUCCGCAAGGAUGAAACUUAAAGGAAUUGGCGGGGGAGCAC
rnacentral:rRNA from 1 species